ACGCCUGAGAAGUUUAAGAUUGAAGGAAGUCAAGCUUUGGUUCACUGUCCCAGGUCACAGGGCAGGGCUAUUUCAGCCUCCCUCUCUAUUCCCGAGUAUCUCUGUGGGCCCUGCUAGGGGUGCUAUGGCUCCUUCUCACCAGCCUUCUCACUGUUGUCACUGUGCUUGGCCUGUCGCCUCUGCUGCACGAGCUGCUUGUCCAGUUCCCGGAGCUGCUUCAGAAAGCCCCGGUUGGGUAGGACACAGCGGUUCUUGGCCACUUGUUGAAUGGCGUCCACCAGGGUCAUGUUCUUGUGAAUCAUCAGGUAGGCCAGGACCAGGGUUGCUGAACGGCUGCGGCCCAUGACACAGUGAACCAGGAUCUUACCUGAAAUGCAGUGGGAAGAAGAGGUACCACACUAUACUGAAGAGAUAAUGUGCAAAGAAGUGAGCGGCCCUGUUUGCACAGCUGGGAAGUGACAGAACCAUGCAUGAUUUGAGCCCAGGCUCCCUGACACCAGAUUCAGAGCUCUAUGUGAUAUCACAAGUGUGUGUGUAUCAGAGAAAAGUUCCACAAGAGGCGAUCAAGGCCCGAACCCCACCAGCCGCAUGCUCAGUGUGGUUCUUGUGUUCCUGGGCCUCGGACAUUCCCAGCUUAAUCACACACAACCCCCGCAGAACCGGCUUCAACAGUGCGCAGAUCCCGCCUCCAGCCGAGACAGGAAUUUCCAGGAAGAAAGAAUAAAGCCAUGUUGAAGUAGGUGGCCUUGGAAUAUGCGGCAGAGGUAGGUUGUCAGAGGAACCAGGAGUUAUUUCUGUCUAGAAGGGCCAAGGGAGGCUUUAUGGGAGAGGGCUGUUUGAGUUUGUCUUACUACAAAUGUUAACACGGUGAUGGAGGGGAAGAGGGAAGCAAGGGCAGGGAAUUAGCACUACUUACAGUGUGGAGGCUGGAGAUAAUGAAGCCCUUUUAGGAAAUGCUUAUUAUUUCCUGCAGUCAGUCAUUUAUCACAAAUAAUGAUUUAAAAUCUGUUGUGUGCCUGUCACUGUCCUGGGUGCCGAUGGUGCAACAGUGAACAGGUUAGUCAAGGUCUCUCGGGACCUCACUCUCAGACACUGCACUCCCUUCUAUCUCAAACCCACUAUGACCGAAGGAUGAAAUAGCAAAAAAGUGGGGCAACUGGGUGGCUCAGUCUGUUGAGCGUCCGACUUCGGCUCAUGUCAUGAUCUCACGAUUUGUGGGUUCAAGCCCUGCAUCAGGGUCUGUGCUGCCAGCUCAGAGUCUGGAGCCUGCUUCAGAUUCUGUGUCUCCCUCUCUGCCCCUCCCCUGCUCAUGCCCUGUCUCUCUCUGUCUCUCAAAAAUAAAUAAAUGUUAAAAAAAAAUUUUUUUUUUAAGUUCAGAUGGCAGUAAAAGCUGUGCUGAUGACUGUGGUCCUGCUUUAUGUAAGGUGGUCAGGCAAGGCCUUGCCAGGAGGUAGUAUUUGAGCUAAGACUGAGGGAUGAGAAGGAGUUAGGCAGGGGUAGAGUUGGAGGAAAAGUGUUUCAUCCAGGCCUAGGGAACAGCAAGUGCCAAGAACAGAAUGGAAACAAGCAUGGCUGUAGUAGCAAGGGGGAUAGUGGUACAAGAGGAAGUUGGAGAGAUAGGCAGGGGCUGGGUCAUGGUAGACCUUGUAGGCCAAGGAAAGAGUUUGCAUUUUACUCUAAGUGUGGUGGAACAUCACAUGCUACAGAGGGUUUAAGGAAGAGGUGAACAUUGUUUACUUUUUUAAAGACCAGUCUGGAGAUGUGUGGAGAUGGAUUGGAGAGGGGGAAAAAUGGAAGCAGGGAGCUCUGUUGGAGACUGUUGCAGUUGUACAGCCAGGAGAGGAAGGUGGUUGGACCAGGGUGGGAUCACAGCAGGGCUUGCUGAGGGACUGGGAGAGGGGCAGGGAGGAGGAGGCUGGUAUGGCCAGAGCAUAGGAUGUGAGAGGAGAGGAGAGGAAAGUCUGGAGGAGUGUGAGGUUGGAACACGGAAGUGCUUGGAUCUGUAUUUGGGGCCGGGGUGGGGGGGGGGGUUAGGGGCGGGGGUCAAGGAGAGUGGUUGAGGAGGGGUGAUCCCAACUAGAUUUUAACAGCACAAAGAGCAGUCUACAGCUCAGGAAAGAUGACAAGGGCCUGGAACCAUAAUAAUAAGAGGCCAGAAGUGACAUUUUGCUCCAGCUGAGGACUCAUCUCAAGGUCACUGGUAAAAGGUAGACAGAAGGGACCAUAUUGGUUACCAACAGUGAUCAAUACCCUGGGCCAAGAGGAGCCUUGCAGCAGGAAACAUGCCACGGCCCCUUGGCCAAGGGCCCCCCAUCUGUUGCUGGUUUCCUGGAGCUUUUCUUGGUCGUGAGAGGAACCAUGAUGGAGUCCAGUGUUUGGGAAAGAGAGAUCCAAACACAGGCAUUGAGCUUUUAGAAACAUUUGCAAACAGCCCAUUGGAAUUGAGCUGUGGAAUGGUGGAGAGUUCCACCAACCCCCUCAGCUAGACUUUGGUGCUGCCAUCCUGACUAUGGACUACAUUCUGCUUUCAGUUUUUCCUCAGAAAGACCUGUUUUUCAUUUUUCUUCUUGUCCCAAAGUAUGUAUACAACAAACGUUAUGCUUUUGGGACAUAGAUCUGCGCUCAAUUAAUGCCUCCACUAAUGCAGUCCAUCUUGCUGAGUAGCAAUCCACCUCACUUUGAGGCUGAGCUCAGUGGAAAAAUUAAAAUGAACUGUCCUUGACAGGAAGUUCCUACCCACCAUAAAGACUGUUAUCUCUGGGUUCAGCAGCUGGGUUUCAACAUAAUCAAAUAGUAGUUUGAAUAAAUAGCAAUUUGCACUUUGUUGCUUUUGGGGUCAAGGAUCAGGGUAAAUAUGUGACAAGACUCGUUGCAUGACACCUCCACAGUCAGACCACAGAGCUGGUUUUAGCUGUCUGAGGGAGAGAAAAGGGCUCCUGGGGAGGAUCAGACCUGGUGGGUGUCUGAGGCCCACUGCAGGUUUUGGGGCAUCCUAUGGCUACCUGAGCCAGGAAGGGAGGCAGUGUCCUUACGCACCACUCUGGGAUUUCCCCCAGUUUCCUCAUUCAGAGUCCUCCUCUCCUUUCCUCCUUAUUUACUCAGAGUCCAGUUGAGAGCUCAGAAGAGUAUCCAUGGCAAAAUGAGGAUCUGCAAAGAGCAAGUAGUCUUGGUAUAUAGUGGCUGUGAUGGAGGCAGAUCCCCAAUUGGUCCAAAUGCCUGGCUCAGCAAUUAUUGGGAGUAGGAUGGGUCAGAGGGUUCUCCCUAGCACUGUAUUGUUGUUUUCUUAAAUUUUAGGGCCAUCUGCUUACGUAUGUUAUGUGGGGAAGAGACUAAGAAAUAUGCUUCUGCUUUGGAGAAAAGCUCAGGAGAAAAACUGACUUACCAACUUACCUCUAGAAUCUAGAUGAUGCAGGAGCCUUAGUUUCUGGUUUAGUUAAAAAUCCUUAUGUAAGCAAUUUGUUUAUUUAAGAAAUUAUGUCAUAAAAAUGUGUCAUCUGAUUACAAAAAUAACACUUGCUCAGUGCAGAUUAUGAAAAACAGGGGCGCCUGGGUGGCUCAGUCAGUUAAGCAUCCAACUUUGGCUCAGGUCAUGAUCUCAGUUUGUGGGUUCGAGCCCUGUGUCGGGCUCUGUUCUAACAGCGUGGAGCCUGGAGCCUGCUUCCUAUUCUGUGUCCCUCUCUUUCUCUCUCUCUCUGCCCCUCCCUGCUCAUGGUCUCUCUCUCUUUCUCUCUCAAAAAUAAGUAAACAUUAAAAAUUUUUUUUAAAAAUAUGAAAAACAUAUUCCUUCCCACAUGCAAAAAAAUCACCUGUAUUUCUACCACCUAGAGAUAAAGUCUCUUUGCUUUUUGAUGUAAGAUUCCUCAGUUGCUUUUCUAUGCAUAGAUUUAGAUAUUUUAUACAGAGAUUUGUUUGGGGGGUACAAUACUACAUGUAAGUUUCAAAACCUUUGACAUGGUGAUAAAUUGUAAACAUCUGCCUCUGUCGACAUACAGCCUUCAAUAGCUGCCUGCUGUUCCAUUCUGUAGGGAAAUCUCAAUUUUACCUCACCAAGCCCCUACUUCUGGAUAUUUGUCUCCUCUCUCCCCCUCUUGCUCUUGCUCUCUCUCUAUCUUUAUCUCUUUCAUGAAGAGGGAGUGGCAGGUAUUAUAAGAACACUAUAAAUGAACAACUUUGCUUUAUUUCUUUGGGCACAUCUCUGAUUAUGUCCUUAGAAGAAAUUUUAAGUAGAAUUUUGGGGUCAAUGGGUAUGAGCAUUUUUAACACAUGUGCUGUGUUGCUAAAUUAUCCUCCUUAAAGCUUGCUCAUUUUGCAUUCUUUGCUAAUUUCACUGGCAAAAAAAAAAAAAGGAAGGAGAAGAAGAGGAAAAGAUAUCUCAUUUUCAUUCAUUGUAGCAAUAAGGCUGGACAUUUUAUCACACAUUUGUUGGACUCAUGCAGUUUACUUUUGAAGAACAUUGCCAUAUCUCUGUUUCUGACCCAAUUCCCUUUAUCUCCUCUCACUGUGAACCUCUGGCCUGGCCCUGGAUUCUUACUGCAGAUUGGAGGGCCAGAGAAGUGACUCCCCUCUUGCAUGGCCCAGUUUCCUCAUUCGGAGUCCUCCCCUCCUUCCUCCUUAUCUGGCCUGACCCAGCCUCCUUUCAGCUCCUCUGAAGUUCCUUCAGGAAGCUUGUUUCAACCCACUACCCUUGAGGAAUGGCGAAUAAGAGCACUCUUGGUGAAGCAGUCUCCCUGGGCAGCACUCCUGACAUUCCACUUUUCCAGGUCUCUUGCUGCCCUGCUGAUCCCCAGCCGAAAUACCUCAGCAUCCACCCCAAAUCCCGUUCCGCCCCACUCCCCGGGUGUAUGCUCUGGCGUAGAGGGGAGGAGGGACAUGCAUGUAUACAUCUAUUCAAGCCCUCCCUCAGCUCCCUUGUGGUGGGAAACCAGCUGCUCCCACAUUGUCAGGAUUCUACAUUGGGCACUGAAGAAAGUCCACCAGUGACUGGGCGUUCUCCAUACCCUUGUGUCUGUGAGGACCCACCUAUUUCCUGCACCUGACUGUGGACUCUUGUUUGCCAAUAGCCUGUAUCCUGUACUCUGGCACCCUGUUCAUUCUGGUGCAUAUGACACUUUGGUGUUCGCGUGUUAUUUCAUGGGCAUGACCCUGAUGGAGACCUUCUCCUUUGGAGUCUCGACCACACCUACUGCUUACAGGUGGAUUUUAAAAGCAGGCAUAUUUCUAGCUUUUGAUCUCCAUCAAUUCUCCAUCAAUUUCAUCAGUGAAAGUGAAAUUCCCUGGCUUUCUAGUUUCUUGGGUGUUCUUGUUACUUGCUGACGAUGAAACUGUUUGGUUUUGAGGCCCUUCAGAACACACAGGGCUGGCAGGUGCAGUUUAUACACUUACACUGCUGCACGAGCUAAAACAACUGAACCUCUGGGACCUUCAGCUUUCUUUCUUUGUCAAACUGAACCAAUUACACUGGCAGUACUUUUCCUUACAGGAUUCUUGUAAAUUGAAUGAUGCCAUACUCGAGUUUCUUUGAAAGGUUAAAAGAUAAAUUUAAGAGAAGAAAGCAGUAGAAAGAUAUACAGCAAAAUGUUAUCAGUGGCUAUCUCUGGGUAAAGGGAUUAUAGAGAAUUUUAAUUUUCUUCUUUUUGUCUGUGUUUUGUAAAUAUCCGUGAUGAGUAGGUCAUAUAUUCACUUAACAUGCAAGUGUUUACCAUGAUUUUUAUUGAUGUUUUCUUAGUUCUUGGGAGACACUGGCUAUUCAAAGAUAUAAGGUGACGUGACCCCAGCAUUUUUAAUUCUUGUUAGAUAUCCCUUCAUCAUCUGCCCCAAGAAGGGAGGCUAAGAGGGGAAAGAGAAUACUCGGAGGCUUGGAUUUGAGAAGUGAUAUUGUAUUAAUAAUUACACUAGGCAUUUUGCUAACCAUGAAAGGAAGUGGUUGAUGUUGCUUGAGGCCUGCACUGAGAAGCCCACUGGAAAAGCCCAGCCAGGUCUCCCCAUUCACUUUGCCCAUGACUGGUGCCCAGUUGUAUCUAAGUCACCUUUGGUACUUGGAGGUUCAGAAUCCAGGCUUUCCAACUCUUUCCACUAGCAUUCAGCACGUUAAAUUGGCAACCGUGGCUGUGUUUUCACUGCAUCCUAAACCACGGUCACCCUGGAGAAGCAGGUCAAGUUUGAGUUCUGCUUGGUGCCUGAAGGCUGAGUUAAUUCCUUCUUUUUGUGGGGAAGGGUUGCAGCUGUCCAGGUGUCCGGGAAGCCCUCUCAUAGGCUAGGGCCAGCUAAGCUGACUGACUUGCUUUCUCCUCAGUUUCCAGCCUCCUCAACUACAGGCCAGGCCUGGAGAUGCCUCUGCUUUCAAGGCUGUUGGUCUGGUUGGGAGGAGAAAGGCAGAAAGGGCAAGAUAGCAAGACCACUUGAAAGUGAGCUCAGGCUGAGUAGGGCUGACCACAGGGAGGAAUCAGGCUUUAAGGGGAAGGGAAGCUGUCUGUUGAUGACCUCGAAAGCCAGACCUUGGAGGCAACUAUAGUUUUAAUAAAAAUGGAGAGCUGCUCAGCACCCCCACCAUUCAAGCGGCAGAGCAAGUUAGCGCCGUGGCGUUGGCUCACAGGAUGCUGACAUCAGGAGGGAGAAGAGAGAUUUCUCAAUUUUCCUGUUCCAGCCAAGCCUAUGGGAGGCUGUCCUGCCUGGGAAUUUGCAAUCACUUUGACAGUAACCAGGAUAUUUCCCCUCCUGCUGACUACAAGGGAAAAAAAGAAAAAUGAAAAAAGAUUUCUCUAAGCAAAUGAAAAAUGUGAAUGAGAUUAAAGAGAGAAUAUUUAAAUUACAGAAACUCAGUGCUUUCAAGCAUACUCAAGCACUUUUGAAGCACCCAUUUAGGGACUGCUGAUUGAUAAGAGGCGAUGAAUUAUUCUUAUCUCAUCAUUGACGCAAGUCCCUGGCUCUCUGGAGGGCAACACUUGGUUAACCUAAUUUGAAUCUAAUUUGAAUGACUUAAAAGUAAUAAAACAAGUAUGUGCUUGAACCUAAUGAAGCCUAAUUUACUUAAUAGCACAUUUCUUAAGGAAUUUUAUUUUAGAGCUGGAAGAGACCUUUGAAAUCAUCCUUGUAUUUUACAAAUAAAGAAACUGAAUCCCAGAACAGUAAAAUGUUUUGCCAAAGGCCACACAUAAUGACCACCAGCACAGGGGCUUGAACUCUGUGCCCUGAAUCCCAUUUGAGGCCUUUUGCCCUACUCCAUCCAUGCUGACCCUACAAUUCCCACUUGUAGCAGAUUCAGACCCCCUACCGAGCUGUGGGAAAUGGGUGGGAAGAGGGUGGCUGUGCCUGGAGCCAGGAUGACAUUCUGGUGAAAAUCUCUGAUCAUCGGCCCGUUUUCUUGUCCCAGUGCCUCCACUGAUCCAGCACACUCAACACCACCCAGAUCCUCACAGGGCUGCAGUGGUGGUGUCAACUCUGCCCUCCCCAGGCUGGUAAGCAAUAGGGACUUGGAGUCAUCAGGCACUCCACGUGGUGAAUCCUCUCGGGAUAAUCUUGGAUUGAGGAAAUGCUGUAGAAGUUCUGAAAUCCACAGGCCCAUUGGGUUUUGGUGUGGCACUGCCUCCUUAGGCCUCAGGCCACCUGGGUUCCUGGAAUACCAGGACAGUAUCUGUGGGGGCAAUUGAGGCACGAGCCUGAAAAAGCCCAUUAGGAGGUAACUUCCUUGCAGCCUGAACUUGAGUUCAUGAUAGCAUCUCAUGGGAGAAAUUUGACCAGGAGUGUUUCCUGUCUCAACGCUGCCCUUAACACAGAAGGACCUUAAUGGCAAAGCACAAUGACAGUUCUUUAUCUUUUACACUGUGAGCUGAGUUUCCAGAACCUGCCUGAUCUGUAAUAGUUCACACUUAUUGGGUGUGCCACACACGGUGCUAAGUGGCAUAUGUAUUAACUCAUUGAAUCCACAUCUUAUAGGUAAAGAAAUUGAAUCUCAGAAAGCAUGAGGGACUUGCCCAAGGCCACAUGGGGACCAGUGUUUGACUAGGCACCGUGGCUUCGGAGCAGAUGCUCAGCCCUUCUGCCUCUCUCCAUGAAGAAGCCCUUGAGGGGAGAGGAGGGAGAAAAAGUGACCUGCUUCUUUGGGCUAAGUCUGGUCCCCAGAGGGUCCCAGGCAUCACCAGCUACCCCAGAACAUCCAUCCUCACUCCUGGAUCCUAACCACCCUCACUUACAGAGCCUUGAUACUUACGUUUCAAAAAUUGUAGGUGCUUUUAAGGAAAGGAAGAAAAAAUCAAGCUAAAUGCAACUUUCAAAUUAAAACUGAGACUUUGUGCAUGAGGAGCCAGCCGUGAGCUUUUUGCUGCUUUGGGCAACACCUACAGAGAGACCAAGAAACAAAGGCAACCUUGCCUGCUCUCAGCAGGGUUUUAACCUCCAUGUGGCCGCAUUGGCAGUGGAAUUAAUUGCUCUCUCAAUAAGCAUUUGUGAGUCUCAUUAGCCUUGUAAGCUGGUGUCUAGGAGGGACCCUGAGCAGAGAUGAGGACAAGCACCAUGAAGCAUCAUGCCAUGCUGACUUGUGCCCCCCGCCCCCACUGUGCACGCAGGUCACACACACUGACCGUGGAGCCUGCCUAGACUGUAUAUGUGUGUGUUUGUUUUGGGGCUCUACCAGGCAGAGCUAGAAUGAAUCGAAAGGGCGGUAACAUUUUCUUGGUUGAAAGAACAAGGUUGCGGUCAGAUGUCAAGGAGGCAAGCAUAUCUUACUGCAUCACACCCUGUUGUCUGGCACUCUGUUAACUAGAACUUGACUGUUCUGCUCAGACACUCAGUGGCUUCCUGAAGAGAGUCGCUCAGUGGGCAUUCAGUCUUCCACAAGCUGGCCCUGACCUACCUUCCCGUGUUUCUUUCUCACGAGGUAACAAUAAUGAUAACAUUUGUAUUUGUCUUACAAAACGUUCUCAUAUUCCAUAUUUCUUUGAAUCUUCGUACUGAUCAUUUUUGGAGAUGAGGGCAUAGGCCCAGAAAGGUAAAAGGACCUGCCCAAAGCCACUACACCUGCAGUAGAUUGUGGCUGUGGUCGAUUAUGCAUUACCACUUGGAAUAUUUGACAGGUUACACUUUCCUGUUCAAUUAACAUGAGGGUUUGGCUUGAACUUGCUUUAGCCACUAAAACGUGGGCAGAAGUGGCAUGUGUCACUUCUGAGUCAGCUCGUGACUUUCCAUGGCCCUUCUCUCCAAGAAACUGGCAAUAUCCUAGAUAGGGGCUGCUCUGUCAGCCUGGGUCCUGAGGCCUAGAGUGACGUGGAUGUGGAGCAGUAAGAAUUGGCCCCCCAUGGACGUGGCAUGUGCAUGAGAAAUAACCCUCUGCUGUGGUAAGCCACCAAGACGUUGGGGUCAUCUGUUACUGCACCACAGCUAAGUCUGAGCUGACCACAUGGCGGUCAAACAUAGCUCAGUUCUAGACACCCUGAAAGUGUACAUCUACCACAUCUAUCCCUGGUAUUCUAGACACACCAUCCUGCUUAUUCUCACCUCCGUGCAUUUCUUCAUCUUGCUCCCUCUGCCCAGAACUCUGUUGAAAUCCUACCCAUCUUCCAGAGUCAUGCUUGGAAUUCACCUCUUCUGUGACACUCUCAGAAUCAUAAUAGUACCAAACACUUAGUGGCAUUUACUUACUAUGUGCCAAACACUUUGUUUUAAUUCAUUUCAUAUUCACCCCACAGAAUGAGCCCUGUCUCUGUUGCCACAUAAAGUGAAGAGAGGUAAAAUAAGUUGUCCAAGAUCACAUAAGUGGUGGCUGGCAGAGCCAAGACUCGAACCCCACACUCCUUCUAUUCCACUACCCCUUCUCCUUCUGUUCCCUGUUACAUUUCUACACAUCUUUUCUCCGUAGCUAUAAAACAGCUUCUUUAUCUGAUUGACCACAUUUCUUUUCUUUUUUUUUUUAAUGUUUUAUUUAUAUUUGAGAGAGAGAGAGAGAGAGAGAGAGAGAGACAGAGUUCGAGCAGGGGAGGGGCAGAGAGGGAGGGAGACAGAAUUCGAAGCAGGCUCCAGGCUCCCGAGCUGUCAGCACAGAGCCUGACGUGGGACUUGAACCCGUGAACUGUGAGAUCAUGACCUGAGCCAGUCAGACGCUUAACUGACUGAGCCACCCAGGCACCCCUUUUCUUUUCUUUUUUUAAAGGUUUUAAGUAAUCUAUCACCUCUCGGCCUUUUGGCAAACAUCAAGCGACGAUUUUAAAUAAUCUCUACACCCACAUGUGGGGCUUGAACUCAGAACCCCGAGAUCAAGAGUCACAUGCCCCACCAUCUGAGCAAGCCAGGUGCCCCUUGACCACAUUUUCUUGAUCUGAGUUUAGGUAUAAGUUAUACCACUUACUGGUGGUAUGACCCUGGGCUGGUCACUUAAUUUCUCUGAGCCUCAGUUUCCUCUUUGUAUUCCCCACAGCUCCUAGCAAGGUUCCCAGUAGAUACUAACUGAGCAAAUGGAUAAACUGUCUGAGCCCUGGUUUGCCCAUUUGUAAAAUAAGAGUAAUAAUGGUACUUCCUUGGUUGUUGAGUUUAAAUGAUGCCUAGCAACAGGGCACAACACACAGUAAGAUAUAUACAACACAACAAGCUAUUGUUAUUAAUUAUUAUAAGCUGUAGGAAAUGUAAAUAUAGUGUAUAAAAUACAGAGAAAAAACUUACUUCUCACUAUGCAGAUUGAGGAAAGCUAGCUUUAUGGCAGAAGUGACUUGAGUGGUUUUUGCAGAAUGUAUAGAAUCUGGACACAGAAAGGAGGUGGGGGGCAGGGCAUUUUAGGCAAAGAGAACAGCAUAGAUAAAGAGCCAGAGACAGUGUAGAUCUUAAAAUCUUAAUCUCUCUUCCCUCAGGUAUACCACGAUUAGGGUCAUAUCUAAGGAAAUCAUCCUAAAUAUGGAAAGAUUUUAUGCAUAAAGAUGUCCAUUGCAGCAUUAUUUAUAAAAGUGAGAACAUAGAAAUAGUGAUAUGUCCAACAAUAGGGAAGUGGUUAAAUAAAUGACCUUACAUCUACCUGAUAUAUUAUUAUCUGAUAGAUAAUAGUAUAUUAUAAUUAAAAGUAUGAGAAAUAUGUCAUAAGGGAAAAGUUUAUGAAUGAUGCUAUGUGGGGAAAAAAGAUAAAAUGAAUAAUCAAUACGAUUACAACUACAUAAAAAUAAGUUUUAAAACCAAAAUAAUACACAGAAAUUCCUGGUGGAAAUCCUGUCCCUUGAUUUCUUAUCCUUAAGAGUAAGGAGUAGCUUCAGAGUAAUGGGGUUUGGUGAUUGCUCUGAGAGAUUUAAGUUUUCUUCCUUACAUUAAUCACUACUUUAUUAUUAGAGCUAACUUUUAUUGAGUGCUCACUACGUACUAGGCACUGCACGGAUACUUUACAUAAUUAUCUCACUUAAUCCAUACAACCCAAUGAGGAAGAUUCUCUUGUUAACCUACUACAAAUAGAGAAAUUAAGACAUAUAUUUAUACAAUAAACAUAUAUUACUUUUAUAAUAGGAAAACCAUAUAUUUACUGAAUUUAAUAUUUUAUAAUUAAAAGAUAAGAGAUUCAGAUCCCCCCCCAUUUUGCUACUUCAAUGAUAAAAUACACAUUGUUGUGCAUAUUUCCUUACGUAUUGAUACUAUUAUUUCUAUAAAUCACAUUUCUUAAAGUGAUAUUUGGGGUCAAAAUGUAUGUGUACCUUUUUAAAUUUUGAACUAAUUUUGGAGUUAAUCUUAGGGAAGUUGCAAAACCAGUACAGAGAUUGGCAAUAAAAAAGAAUAAAAUACUCGUCCAUGCUACAACUUGGAUGAACCUUGAAAACAUUAUGCUAAGUGAAAGAAGCCAGACACAAAAGUCAUAUAUUAUGAUUCCAUUUAUAUAGGAAAUGCCCAGAAUAGGUAAAUCUAUAGAAAUAGAAAGCAGAUGGGUGGUUGCCUAAGACUGUGAAAAGAUGGAGAAUGGACAGUUUUCAGGUGGUUUCCUUUGGAGGAGAUGAAAAUGCUUUGAAAUGAGUGGUGCUGGUUGUACAACUUUUUAACUAUAAUAAAAAAAAAUCACUGAACUCUGCACUUUAAAAGGGUGAUUUUAUGGAAUGUGAGCUAUAUCUGAAUUAAGCUGUUAUUUAAAAAAAAGAAAACAGGGGUGCCUGGCUGGCUCAGUUGAUUAAGCGUCCAACUUUGGCUCAGGUCAUUAUCUCAUGGCUUUGUUGGUUCGAGCCCCGCAUCAGGUUCUAUGCUGACAGUGUGGAGUCUGCUUAGGAUUCUCUGUCUCCUUCUGUCUGUGACCCUCCCCUACUCCCUCUCUCUCUCUAUCUCUCUCAAGAAUAAACUUCUAAAAAAUUAAAAAAAAAACAGUACAGAGAGUCCCAUAAACCCCUCACUGAUGUUCCCCUAAUGUUCACAACUGGGAAACGAUUGGAUAAAUCAGAGUACAGCUCUCCUAUGAGAUAGUAAAAGUACCCAUAGCAUGAUUCCUUUUUUUCUCCUAAAAAUUAUUUAAAAGAAGCAAAAACCCUUUAUAUGUGUGUGUGUGUUACCUUACAUUUGCAGCAGCACACAUAAAGUAGUGGGAGUAUGAAAGUGAGCUUAAUACUGGUUACUUGGUGGCAGAAUUAAGGCGGACAGAGGGAGAUUAGCAGUUUGUUUUUAUAACCCUCUAUUUAGUUUAAUUUAGUAUAAAAAGACAUGUAAUUUUUCUAACUUUUUCAAUUUAGAAAUAUUAAGGAGGGGCACCUGGGUGGCUCAGUGGGUUAAGCAUCUGACUUCAACUCAGGUCAUGACCUCGUGGUUCGUGAGCUCAAGGCCUACCUGGGCUGUCUGCUGUCAGCAUGGAGCCAGCUUUGGAUCCUCUGUCUCCCUCUCGCUGCCCCUCCCCCGCUCGUGCAUGCAAUCUCUCUCUCUUAAAAAUAAACAAACAUUGAAAACACUUUUAAAUAUUAAGGGGAAAAAAAGGCAAGGGAUGCUGCCCCUGGAUUUCCCAUGACUAGGCAGUCAUCUCCAGGUUUUAUGCAGCAUGGUGUUUAUUAACAUCACACACGCAGGGGUCCUACACCAUCAGCUCCUGGGAGGGAUGGAACCUGAGCAGGAAUCCUGGGGAAUAGAUGGAGGAGUAGGAGUACUGGUUAAGAUAAAAGCUUCUGGGUUAGGCAGAACUGCGUUUGAAUCCCAGAUUCUGCCACCUACUGAGCUGUGGACCUUGGACCAGUUGCUUAACUGCCCUGUCCCUUGAUUUCUUAUCCUUAAAAUGGGAGUAAUUGGAUGACUUUCAUUGGGCUAUAAUGAAAACAAAAUGAGCUCAUUCAUGCAAGAUGCUUAACACUGUGACUAGAACAUGGUAUUCAGUAAGUGAAAGGAAUUAUUAUUAUUAAUAUUAUUUAUAGUAGACAUUUUCCAGUUGUUGGAGGAAUGGGAAAUGGUGGCUAUAAAAAUCUAGAGGAGGGGACAGUGACCUCAACUUUGCUAGACCUAACAUGUUCCCAACACAUAAGUUGAUGUGCUCCUGUGUCAUCAAUCUGAGAACUGACUUUGUUCUUGCCACUCUUAUACCCAGCUAAAACAAAAGGCUCUGGUUCCCAGCCUCCCUUGCAGCUAGAGGCAGGGGAGGUCUCGGGAGACACUUUCUUCUGGAAAGAUGCACUUACUUUCUCUUUAUGUUUCUGUGGCCUGGAUCCCACAGAUGGUGACUGGAGCUCUAUCAGCACUAUUGGCUCAUGCAACAACUUUGAGGAGGGAAACCAUACCCUUGGGAUGGUGGAGCAGAGCACAGGAGCCUGAGAUGCUGAUGACCCUGGAGUCACCACGCCAGCCCCAGCUUACCUUCCUCUGCACCUCUUUUAUAUAAAAGAGAAAUAAACCUCUAUGUUGCAUAAGCCCUUUCUCUGGGUUUUCUAUAAUGUGAAGAUAAACCCAGCCCUAAUUGAGUUCUCACAAUACAACUAACCCAAAAAGCAAAAGCUCAUGUCUAGGAGGGAGUGAGGGGUGUGAGCUGGGGAGGGGCUGGCUGCCUUCUCCUGGGUGAGGCCAGAGGUGAGGCUUGGCCUAGACACUUACUCAUCGCCGAUGUAGAGCUGGGGCCAGACCUCGUUGACAUGGGUGUACUGGGGACUGCCCUUCCAGAAGAGACGCUCCAGCUCAAAGGCUCCGGGGGUACAGUAGUCCUCUGCUUCUACCUCCCCCUCCACCUUCGGCAGCAGCCUCUUGGCAGAUGGGUAGGCAUUUUUGAGACUUGUCUUUGGUUCUCUGGAUGUCAUUUUGAAGCCAAGGGAUUUUCUUUUGUUUCUGCAAUUGGUCAUGAGAGAGGGUCAGGAUUUGAGUUAGCAGGAGGCAGAGGUAGGGAAAGGCCUUUACAAAAAGAGGUGGGAAUAAACUGAUCUUAAGAUUCAACAGGCAUUUCCCCUGCCUGCUGUGCUUCUGCUUCCUUUUCUCAGGCCACAGAAGUAACCAAGGAGGGCCAUGAUGGCAGUUAAACACUUCAGCAACAUUCCAUUCUCCUUCAGUGCAGUAGUGCUGGGGGCCCUCUGACAUGGGCCGAGGAGGAUUUGCAGCAGAGUCAAGACAGGCUUCAAGCCUCAGAAAUCCCUGUGGGCAGCCAGUCCCUUGCCUCCUUUCUUUUAGCUUUUACCCCUUCUUUGGUCCUAGUUUUUCUUUUAUCUGACUAAAAUCUGCUGGUUCUGACCAUUUUGAAUCCUAAUAGGAAGGGCCAGAAGAUUCCUACCAUUCCAGGCCUGGGAUACUCAACACCUGCAGGGAGCCAUUAGCCACGGGACAGGGCACACCUGUAAAUCCAGAGCCCAUUUGAGCCAAGCAGCCAUGCACAUUCUGGAAUCUCCAGGAGCCCUUGGGUAGAAGGAGGCUUGGCUGCAUGAGAGUUCCUCAAUGCAUUAGGACAGUUGAAGGCAAUGUUGUUGGCUGCUCUCACACUAGGGGCUGGCAGUUGUGCUAACUUACCAGGGGUCAGAAGAGAUGUUCCAAGCUGUAAAACUGUGUUUGCAGAUUGAAAUGCAUAUUUGGAGACCUUGUCAGGCUCUGCAAAUGGAAUGUGGGAGAAGAGUUUCCACUGUCCCCAAAGAAAGGAAUUUGCUGUGGAAUUGGGCAGUGUUUGUUCCCUGAGCUGAGUGACUGAUGCAUCUACACACAGACAGCCUGAGGGGAGGUUAUGCUCUGAGACUAGAGGCAAGGAGAAAAAAGGCAGAGUGACUGAGAAAUGUGCAGGUGAGUGAUGGGGAGGGAAUGUUAUUCAUUUAACAAAUACUUAGCUGGCACUUACUUUGCACCAGGCACUGUUCCAGUGCUUUACAAUUACUAACUCAUUUAAUCUUCUUAACAACCCUAUGAGGUAGGCAUUAUUGUUAUCUCUAUUUUACAGAUGAGGAACAUUGUAAAUUGAGGCUGUUUAUAACACAUGGUCUUAGUCUUCUGAGAAGCAAAU